AAUUACUCCGUUUCACUUUUUCUCAAAGAAGAGAAAAAAAAGGAAUUCCCAUAUAAGUUUCGCCCACAAAACAUAAAACCGAAAAACCAAACUAUAUUUACUCAAAGGAGAAUCAAAAAUCUAAACAAAACCUCUCUUCCGUUAUUCGAUCUAGCUCCGCCUCCACCUCUUCUCCACCAUCUACACAUCUAUAUCAUCCGAAUAUAUUCGAUCUCGCGUAAACCUAAUUAACUCCUGCGAUCUCCACUGCCAACUCCUUUCAUCCUAAUAUAAUCUGAGCAUGCUUUUGAUUUUCUAUUUUUUGUGUGUGAUUAUAUGGAAUGGAUUAUAAAUCAAAAAUAAUCAAGGUUACAAUUUUAUUUGUUUCAUAGACCUAAUUUUACAUUUUUUUUCCAAUUAUUGAUGUUGUUAUUUUUUUGCGGAUUUGAUUUACAGGUAUUCCUCUCUGCCCUGCAGGAGGUUUUUCUUUUUUUUUUUGUUUCUUAAACGACCAAAGGAUUUACGCCCUUAUCAUAUGGUUUUGUUUUGGACAUUCAAACCCUUAUCAUAUAGUCUUGUUUUGGACAUUCAAAAGUAAGCAAAUAGUAUUAGGUUUUCGUCCAUCCUCUGUUUUAUCCUCUCUGGAUUGCGUUUUUAGUUUUAUGUAUUGGCUUUAGCUUUUUAAUUUUUAAUGAAUGUUGUUUUUAGUGAAAUCAAUAACUCCAAUAGGUAUGAGCACAUUUUCUCUUAUAUUAGCUUUGUUUUUUGAUUGAUGUUAUUGAUUUUGUUGGAAGACGUUUAUAUUAGGACUUUGAUUGUAGACGUAAUCUUUCUUUAGUGAUGUGAUUUUGUUGCUAAUCUUUCUUUGAUCCCGUUCCAGUUUCUAAGGGCAUGCCAUGUAGUUUUAGUAGAUAAUGGCAUUCAAUACAUGCAGUUAAUGGGUGAACCUAAUGUUUGGGGUUUUGCCAUCUUUAUGUCCUAUGAUAUUACUAAACAUGUGAUUUAUUUUUGGUUCUGUUUCGUCAAAUCUUUCAAUUUAUUAGGUGGUAUUUUGUUUUGAGUUAGCAUUUGAUUCUAUCUACUUUUGAUAUAUACAUAGAUAAAGCUCCCUCUAUUUUACUAACAUUCAUUAUUGAGGUACAACUUUUAAAUUGGUAGAAGUCUGACUGAGAUUAUGUUUUCAUUUUGGUUUCGGAUAUCGUAGCAAUUAUUGUGCAUCCUAAAUGGGGGUAAAACUCUUUCAACCUAUGGGUAGAACGUUGCCGUAAUGCUCGAAUUGUUGAAUCUGAUGAAAGACUGAUAGGAAUGGAGCCAUAGAAGAUUCUAUUUACGUUUUGGUUUCUUUAUAAUUUAUGUUAUAUGUAAUUCAAAUGCUAUUGAGUUUAAGUUGGUUCACUUGGCUUUCCUUUUGCAAGAUUUGAUUGACUGUUUGAUUGAGAGAACAAAUUUUGAGAGGACAUAAUUCAAUUUUUGGGUACAGUUGCUAGAUUUUCUUUUCGAUCAAACGGGUACAAUAGGAAGACUUUGUUGUAUAUUGUUUCAGCUAUUUUUAUCAUGUAAAUUUAUUUAAAUGCAUGUGUUACUGUGAUACUAUGAGUUUGGUGUGUGCUUAACAGUUCUUGGGAUAUGGAAAACCAGAAUAAACUCAGACGAUCUGCCCACAGAACCUGAAGCUACUUUUGUUGGUGUUUUUGCAGAAAAGAUUCCAGUGGAAUUAAAGGUGCAAUACGGAUACUUCUAAUACAGUGAUUCACUCUCCUGAUGGAAACUAUGUGCCCAGUUGUUAAUUCCUAACUUACAUGGGAGCCUGAAAAUGUUAGCCGCUCUGAUAUCUACAUCAAACUCUACAGGCAAGCUAUCUUGAGUUCGUUUGUACCACUUCUUUCGUAUUCAUCAUUGGUCUUCGCAGACCAAGACCAACACCAUUACCGCCACUCUUUAGAAGAAGAAUUACAGAACAAGACCAACACCUUUACCACUAUUAUUUUAGUUUUUAAAAAGUCAAAAAUUUGACUUAUUGGAGAACUGUAUUAGAAGGAUAUUGAUUGCAUUGUAAUUAAUGUCAAACCCCGGAUCAGAUGCCCAAUCUCAGACUUCUCUGGAAAACCCCCAUGCCACAAAACAGGAUUCAAUCCUUUGCAUGAAGGAUAUGCCUUUGCUUCUGAAACCAGGUGUUCGUGAAAGCAGGAUGAUGACAUCGUGAGACGAGCUUCGUGAAAGCGUGACCCUUUCAGCCUGGUAAAGCAAGAUGUGCAUUACACCUAUUGGUUCGACCUCUCACACAUAGCUUCGCGCUUCGACGAGCGAAAGCGAGCCAUCGGUCUACGGGUUUCUUUGGUGUUUAUGGUGGUUAUGAAAAUCAAUUUUUUAUUUGAUAAUAAUUUAUCUUUGUAGUUUUAACAUAUUUAAAUGGAUGUAGCUGCUAAUAACGAAUUUUGGACCACUGUUCCACAGAAGUUACACCACAUUGACGGAUAACACUUCUCAAAAAUUUAGCAAAAAGGGAGUCUACGUACCAGAUUUUAACAUGCAGGUGUAAUCGGUGAUGAAAAACAGGUUGACACUGUCCAAAACUCUCCCAUGUUUGUCAGUUAAAGACCUAUGUGAAAGAUUAUGGGAGAAAUUCACAAGUACAAAUUACCACCAACCAAGCCAAUGGUUGUAGAGUCCUUCUCUCAAUACCCACCUCUUGGAAGUUUCGUUGUUACGGACAUGAGGCAGACAGUUGUUGUUAGUGUCAUCAAGGAAGUUGAGAAAAAGGACCCAACAGGAGCCAAGGCUACCAAGUCUGCUGUCAAGAAGAAGUAAAGUGUUCCAGUAAGUACAUCGACUGUAGGAGAAACUGUUUGUGUCCAGGUGCGUGCUUUUCGUUACAGUUAGUGCUAUCAUUAUAAUUAACCUUCAGAAUAUCUAUUUUUCUUUAUUGGUUUCCUGAAAGUUGCAAAGAUCUGUGACGUUGCCCAAGUGCACCUAUGGCAUACAAAACAGAGAACGGUAAUAUGUCCCAGAAGGCAGGGAUAAUCCAUGCAGUCUACCACUGCUCAUGAGUCUGCCACUGCUUAUCGUACACGUGAUUUUCCUUUAGGUGGAGCUACAGAAAAAUAAUAGUUAAAUAUGAACUUGAAUUACAAUAAAAAAAUUGUGUCUACUAAGCUAAUGUAUUUUAUACUACUUUUUCUCAUACUUAGUUUCUCCUUUUCAAUCUUAGGUCAUAAUGAACGCGACCCCAACAACAAAAAUUCUGGAAGACUUUUCAAGAAACUUAGCUCCAGUUUAGUAAUUUAAGUUCUUAGUUUCUCACUUAAAUGAAAUGAUACAAAGUGGCUUUUAUGGAGUAUCAACGCCAGUCCACUUCUUCUUAGAAAGAUGAUCGGUAGACUUGGCUUCGCAGGUACAUACAUUUCUCUUUUGCAUAUCCUAUCUAUAUUUGUAUUCGUUCAAGUGGAAAAUGAGUGCCUGGAGUGUUGAACUUAGAUGUUGCACUUUCUUUGAUCCUAAAGUCCAGGUUCUAGGGGCAUGCCAUUGUAGUUUUAGCAGAUAAAUGCAUUAUGCACGUGAGUUAUUUGGUGAAUUUAAUGUCGAUCUAUUGACGUUUUAUGAUAUGAUUGGAAUUCCACUUCAUGUCCGAUAUAUACACCUUUCCUUUUUUCUUUAAUACAAAGAGGUAGAUAAACCCCCCUUAAUUUCACUAACAUUUUUAUAUUGGUAGUCUAUCUGAGGUUAUGUUUACAUUUUGGUUUCGGAUAUUGCAGCGAUUUGUACAUCCUAAUUGUGGGAAGAACUUUGUAUGUAUUCACUCCUUUCCUAUCCAUCAUUUCUCUUUUAAGACAGACUGAAUAAUUUACUGAUAUUUUUGUAUGGCCAUUUUUGAGAUAAUUAAGCUACUUUUGGUAUGUAGAUUAUCACAUCAACAACUCAUGUACUCAUUUUAACAAAUUAACAUACAUUAUUUGUUUUUAUGCUGUGAUUGUGAUUCUUAUUCGUUUCAAAAUCGAGUAGCAGCAGCAUCCUUGAUAAUUAUCCGAACAGAGUCUCCAAUGCAGAUUUUAACAAGUUAAGUUGUAUCGCCACAGUUGUAUUAUGGAGGUAUGUGCAGGAACACAAGCACAGAGGUAGUCAUUAAGGCUAACUGUCUUGGUGUUUAUACAAGUCUUCGAGAGCAGCCAAAGAGUAAUAUGGCUUUUAUAGUGCAGUUUAGUUUACCACUGUUUUGGACUCAUCUGAUUCGUGAUAAAUUGUGUAACAUGUACGAGUGAACAAAAAAAAGUUGAAAAAUCAAAAUUGAGUGAAUUGAAAAUUUUAUUGGACAUCUCCAGCUUGCUUGGAUUUUCCUU